rnacentral:rRNA from 1 species
GACGAACGCUGGCGGCGUGCUUAACACAUGCAAGUCGAACGGAAAGGCCCUGCUUUUGUGGGGUGCUCGAGUGGCGAACGGGUGAGUAACACGUGAGUAACCUGCCCUUGACUUUGGGAUAACUUCAGGAAACUGGGGCUAAUACCGGAUAGGAGCUCCUGCUGCAUGGUGGGGGUUGGAAAGUUUCGGCGGUUGGGGAUGGACUCGCGGCUUAUCAGCUUGUUGGUGGGGUAGUGGCUUACCAAGGCUUUGACGGGUAGCCGGCCUGAGAGGGUGACCGGCCACAUUGGGACUGAGAUACGGCCCAGACUCCUACGGGAGGCAGCAGUGGGGAAUAUUGCACAAUGGGCGGAAGCCUGAUGCAGCAACGCCGCGUGCGGGAUGACGGCCUUCGGGUUGUAAACCGCUUUCGCCUGUGACGAAGCGUGAGUGACGGUAAUGGGUAAAGAAGCGCCGGCUAACUACGUGCCAGCAGCCGCGGUGAUACGUAGGGUGCGAGCGUUGUCCGGAUUUAUUGGGCGUAAAGGGCUCGUAGGUGGUUGAUCGCGUCGGAAGUGUAAUCUUGGGGCUUAACCCUGAGCGUGCUUUCGAUACGGGUUGACUUGAGGAAGGUAGGGGAGAAUGGAAUUCCUGGUGGAGCGGUGGAAUGCGCAGAUAUCAGGAGGAACACCAGUGGCGAAGGCGGUUCUCUGGGCCUUUCCUGACGCUGAGGAGCGAAAGCGUGGGGAGCGAACAGGCUUAGAUACCCUGGUAGUCCACGCUGUAAACGGUGGGUACUAGGUGUGGGGUCCAUUCCACGGGUUCCGUGCCGUAGCUAACGCUUUAAGUACCCCGCCUGGGGAGUACGGCCGCAAGGCUAAAACUCAAAGGAAUUGACGGGGCCCCGCACAAGCGGCGGAGCAUGCGGAUUAAUUCGAUGCAACGCGUAGAACCUUACCUGGGUUUGACAUGGAUCGGAAGUGCUCAGAGAUGGGUGUGCCUCUUUUGGGGUCGGUUCACAGGUGGUGCAUGGCUGUCGUCAGCUCGUGUCGUGAGAUGUUGGGUUAAGUCCCGCAACGAGCGCAACCCUUGUUCACUGUUGCCAGCACGUUAUGGUGGGGACUCAGUGGAGACCGCCGGGGUCAACUCGGAGGAAGGUGGGGAUGACGUCAAGUCAUCAUGCCCCUUAUGUCCAGGGCUUCACGCAUGCUACAAUGGCUGGUACAGAGAGUGGCGAGCCUGUGAGGGUGAGCGAAUCUCGGAAAGCCGGUCUCAGUUCGGAUUGGGGUCUGCAACUCGACCUCAUGAAGUCGGAGUCGCUAGUAAUCGCAGAUCAGCAACGCUGCGGUGAAUACGUUCCCGGGGCU